UAGAAAGUAGUGUUUUGGAUGCACUAAGAGUUUUGAUCUCUUUAGGUUGGGUUCAAUUCCCUUCUUUUUAA
rnacentral:tRNA from 1 species